UGAACUGACGUAGCGAGAGUUGGGGGUUGGUGCGUUGCGUGUGGUGUUAUUCUCUAACAAAUGAGAGAAAUGUAAUUGUGAAUAUUGUAAGUCUUGGAGGUUUAUCCCGGAUUUGGUUGGGACUGGGAUGAUACCACAAGUAGUGUAGGUAUCUGGUAUGACAACAUCACCAAAUCAACCAUCAAAAUGUGAAUCAUGAAGGGUCCACAUUAUCAAAUGCACCUACAUACCUGGAUAUCUAAGAAACAUAACACUGUUAAAGAUGGGCUAUGGAAAGAGUUAUGAAAUCAGCAAAUUGAGAAGUAAUACUAUGAAGGUGAAAUGUUGAUGAGGGGACAGUGAAGCAUACUUAUCAAUAAAGGAUGGUUUCAAUACAUUAUUUUUUGGACAUUUACAUACACAGAUUCAGAAUAAUACAUAAUCCGAUCGGUUUUAGAAUAAAUAUACUAUGUGCUGUGGUAAAUCAAUAGGAUUUACCAUCCUUUCCUUAGAAGUAUGGAAAUCACUAAUUGGAUAGUUGUGGACUCCAUUCAUAAUGUAUUUUAUUGCACAAGAUCGAUGAGUAGCUGUACAAACAGUAGUCGGAGAACAUGUGUUUAAUAUGCAUAAGUCAAAUUCAUCACAUAAAUUGAAAAUUUCUGUGCAUACCAAUAGUGUUCAGUUUUUAUAUUGAAUUGAUGUUUUAAGAUAUUGUAAUAAAUUAUU